GUGCUCACUUUGGCAGCACAUAUACUAAAAUUGAAAUGAUACAGAGAAGAUUAGCAUGGUCCUUGUGCAAGGAUGACACGUAAAUUCAUGAAGCAUAUUAAAAAAAA
rnacentral:snRNA from 1 species